AUCCACAUAUCUUACCCAACACUUGGAGAAAGCACCAGACCUGCAGUCAGAGAAAAACCUGACUUCAAAUCUGGCCUGCCACUAACAACAAAAACACUGCUGGAGCCUUCCGCUGUCGGGGUAGCCUGUUCACCUCAGCCAAAGAGCCGAGCCUCAGGACUGGCACAGUAACCAAUCACAACAAAAUUGUGAGGUGUGGCCACAGAAGGGAGUAGCUUAGAUGAAAGACAAUAGAGGAGCCAGUGACGUGCUUAAAGCCAAGGCCCAUGAACGUGCAGAGAAGACGGGGAAAGAAAUACAUGGCUUCUUCCUCUCUCCUCACCUCCCAAAGGGUCCUGCCUAUGUCUACACUGGCCUCAUCUCAGGACGAGCAAGCCUACGAUCAGCAAACAUAAUUAAUGCACCCAGGAUGAGUAUCAUGUACGGUUUAUAUUUUGCAGUGACUUACCUUGCAUGGUUCAAAAUGGUGGCCUCUCUCCAUGUAGCUGCUUAAAAGAACACUUAGAUAAGCAAACACCACCAACAAGCAAAACAAGUACU